rnacentral:misc_RNA from 4 species
AACGCACCUUGCGCUCCUUGGUAUUCCGAGGAGCAUGCCUGUUUGAGUGUCAUUAAAUUCUCAACCUCACCCGUUUUCUGAACGGUACCCGAGGCUUGGAUGUGGGGGUUUGUGCAGGCUGCCUCAGCGCUGGUCUGCUCCCCUGAAAUGCAUUAGCGAGUUCAUACUGAACCUCCGUCUAUUGGUGUGAUAAUUAUCUACGCCGUGGACUGGGUUUAGACUCGCUUCUAACCGUCCGCAAGGACAAUACCUUUGACAAUUUGACCUCAAAUCAGGUAGGACUACCCGCUGAACUUAA